rnacentral:misc_RNA from 1 species
AAGUUCUCAGCAAUAGAAACGAAUUAUGUUCAAACAGCAGGUAAUUGCUAUAAGUCGUUGAAGAGUACCCUCGACUAUCUGUCGUCUCCAUCAUCAGACUGAAAUGGCACUUAUAACUCAUACAUAUGUAAAGUUCUCAUCAAUAGAAACGAAUUAAGUUCAAACAGCAGGUAAUUGCUAUAAAUUGUUGAAGAGUUCCCUCGACUAUCUUUCUUCUCCAUCAUCAGAUCGACUCCAGACCUUUAUUAAAUAGUAGUACUUUAUAGUAAUUAAUGAAAACAUGAUUAAAUUUACUAGUCACCGUUACGAUUUUUGAAAGUUUCCCUCGAUUUCUCUGGGAUCCCAUCAUCAGAUCCUGGUUUCCUUAUCAUGGUACCAAACUAUGAAUAUCUCCUUUCCAA